rnacentral:rRNA from 1 species
CGCCACGGCCGCCUACCCGACGAUCUCCUCCGUCGCGUCCUCUCUCGCCUCCCCGCCAAGGACGGCGCGCGCACCACCGUGCUCUCCUCGCGCUGGCGCGGACUCUGGCGCUCCGUGCCGCUCGUCCUCGUCGACACCCACCUCCUCUCCAGGGGCGACGCGGAGUGCCGGCCCGCCCGAGCCGGUGCCGUCUCGCGUGCCGUCACCGACGCCGUCUCCGCCGCCCUCAAGGCACAUCCUGGGCCAUUCCCCUUCGUCAGCCUCACCUGCAGCUUCAUGGACGCCACCGACCGCCGCGUGCUCGCGCGCUGGUUCCAGAUCCUUGUCACCAAGGGCGUCGACGAGCUCGUCUUCGUUAAUCGCCCCUGGCCCCUUCCCGGCCUGCCCCUCCCAUCCUCGCUCUUCAGCUGCGCCUCCCUCUCCCGGCUCUGCCUCGGCGCCUGGGUGUUCCCGAACACCACCGCCCUCCCACGCGGCGCCGGCUUCCCCAACCUUCGGGAGCUUGUGCUUGGCUGCGUCGUCAUGAAGGACAAAGACCUGGAGUUCUUGCUCGCCGUGAGCCCCGUGCUGGAGAUGCUCGCGUUCCAUGGAAGCCUGGCCUCAUUGCAAGCUCGUAUCGCCAACCAGAGCCUACGGUGCGCGCAGUUCUGCUUGUCCAUCCUGGAGGAGGUCGCCAUGGUGAACGCCCCAAGCCUGGAGCGUCUCUUCCUCUGGAGAAAUUGGAGCGAGCGGGGCCGCAUAGGCGCAAUGAGCACGACAGUCAAGAUUGGCCAUGCCCCUAAGCUGCGUGUGCUGGGAUAUCUGGAGCCAGGAGUGCACAUUCUGCAGAUCGGCAGCACCAUCAUCAAGGCUGGAACAAAGGCGAGCGCACGUACUACUGUGUCAAGCCUCCAGAUGUUGGCUUUGCAAGUGCAUUUUGGAGAUUGGAGUCAAGUCANNNNNNNNNNNNNNNNCACCAUGUGCAGCUGAACUGUUUGCUCACCCAAAUUGCAGUCUUUUCUUGAAGAAAACACCAGCAACCGUAGUCUCAAGUUCUGGCAGGAGACAAGUCCUAUUGAGUGUGUCCAGUCGCACCUCAAGACUCUGUCUUUCUGUGAGCUACAAGGGAAUGAUGACGAGUUUGAUUUCAUCAUGUUCAUCGUGGAGAAUGCACUGAAGCUGGAGAGGCUGAUCAUCCAAAUUAAACAAGACCUAACUUACACUGAGAGGCAAGUGGUGGUUGCCAAACUGGGGGAUCUUAGUUGUGCUAAUUGGGCCAAUACGAACUGCAAAGUGCGAUUCGAGGUCAGUACCAAUCCUAUCGGAAGUUCUUGGAGCAUCGAAGCAGGAUCAGAUUUGUCUUCUGAUGAUCCCUUUUCCUGCCUCUGA